GAUGAACGCUAGCUACAGGCUUAACACAUGCAAGUCGAGGGGCAGCAUGUUGGUUGCUUGCAACCAACGAUGGCGACCGGCGCACGGGUGAGUAACGCGUAUCCAACCUUCCGCAUACUCGGGAAUAGCCUUUCGAAAGAAAGAUUAAUGCCCGAUGGUUUCCCGAAUCCGCAUGAGCGCGGGAAUAAAGAUUCAUCGGUAUGCGAUGGGGAUGCGUCCCAUUAGCUUGUUGGCGGGGUAACGGCCCACCAAGGCUACGAUGGGUAGGGGUUCUGAGAGGAAGGUCCCCCACAUUGGAACUUAGACACGGUCCAAACUACUACGGGAGGCAGCAGUGAGGAAUAUUGGUCAAUGGGCGAGAGCCUGAACCAGCCAAGUAGCGUGAGGGAUGACCGCCCUACGGGUCGUAAACCUCUUUUAUAAGGGAAUAAAGAUAAAUACGCGUACUCAGUUGCAUGUACCUUAUGAAUAAGCAUCGGCUAACUCCGUGCCAGCAGCCGCGGUAA
rnacentral:rRNA from 1 species